rnacentral:lncRNA from 1 species
UUGACAUCAACUGUCUGGGCUGCACCUUUCAUGCACGUCACGAGGGGGUGUGGUCAAGGCGCGAUGAUUGAAUGAUUGAAUGAAUGGACAUAUAGUCACCUGGGUGCUGCGGCGGCUGCAUGGAGAGGGGGUGAGUAGGGAGAGCGUAUUUUUUGUUGACCGCUUGAUUUAAACGUCAAACUAAGCCCAUAGAUCAUCUUGCCUUGCCUUGCCCUGUCUGUCUGUUUGUGCGGCGUUGGAAAUAAAUGUGAACUCAAUCGGAAAACACGGAAAUGGCUUGUGGUUUGUGUAGCGAGUCACCAAUGCGGAAGCUCCCUCACUUAGCCUCUCAGUGACUUUGUUUUCGUUCCUAGUCACUAUACUAACCUCUUUUAUUUAUUUAUCUAUUUAUUUAGUUUUGUGUGUGUGAGGUUUUGAUUGCACGUAAGGGUGUGCUCCCUGACUCUAUUUAUUUCGUGUUAUUGCUUCCACCUGGAAUAGUUUGGGUCUGUUGGAGAAACUUCCAGAAGGGCAAUAUGGACAACAUUGCUGUGUCCUUGAUAAACUGAGUUAAUGCACAUGUGUAAUGGUAUAUGUGAUGGAGAUGUGCCUUUCUGAAUAAAAAGAGAAUCUCAGAAAAAAAAAAGAAGAAGCUGCCCAUUUUUACUUUGUUUUGUUAAGGUUGUAAAAAUAAUAACUUAAUUUGAAUAUUUAGGCAGAGAUCUGAACUAUGAGUCUGUUGUUUUAUUUUGAAAGGGUUUGUUCUCCCUUUUCUUUUUUCUUCAGUUGUACAGAGAACAAUCUGCUCCUCUAAAAGAGUGAAUAUGAAGUGUGUGGGUUGGGGUGGCUAACAGUAUAAAAAUAAGCUUCAGGCCUCUUUGUCAAUUAAACUCAGUUUGUUAGUUUCUUUGUCUCUCACAGAGUUGGCCAUCACCUGAUAAUGUGGAUGUUCCCAUCUCCCCUCCUUCUCAUCCUCCUCCUCUUUCACUGCUUGAUAUCUUCCUUUGUGUCUUAUUAGCCAUAAGAUGACAGGAGGGGUUUAAAAAUAGAGACGAUCCACCCAGAUUACAGCAUUUUAAUUACAGAGCGCUGGUGCGUUGGGGGUGUAGAGGCCCCUCCUCUGACAGGAGGAGAGCAGGGUUGAGGAGGAAGAGUUGGAAGGCAGCGUGGUUUGUACAAUGAAUGUAAACUGUGGGCUAAUUAGUAUCGUCUGCCACAGUGAUGCUCAAGCUGUAGCCAUCUAUUAUAUAUAAAUUGUGGGCUGCGUGGCACAUUGAACACUUCAUAAACGCACACCUGUGGCCACAUCACACUGAUUUGAAAUAUUAAAACCUGACAGUCACCUGGAGGGGGGACUGGGGGCUUGCUUUAGGUAAAAACAUAGAGGCAACUUCUAUCCAAAUAAUGACUUUGUUAACUUAAUACAUAAAGUACUCGUGUCAUUUUAAGACCCCACACUAUCACUGUGGUGUCACACUUAAACUCAAGACUACCUAGUCAUAAAUAGUCAUACACCAUUAUAAAAGAGGUUAUCAUCUAGAUUUUACUGCUCAUAAGGGAGUGAAAGUGAUACAUGGCUUAAGUUUUGUUCUCAUCUAUGCACAUUAUUUCUAGGCUGAUGAUAGGAAAUCAUGGUUACCACCUCACAUCAUUUUGUAGCCACCAGUAAACGUAUAAAUAUUCUAAUGAGUCAUUAAACCCCAUGUCAUAAUGUAAACUGAGACCAAAUACCCAGAUAAAGGUGAAAUAAAGGAGUGUAUGCAGGUAUUUCUAGAUUAUUUAAUUUCUGUGUUUCCAAAUUGGAGAGGAUACAUUUUUUUUUCUUUUUUUUUUUAAUUGUGCAAUACGGCAUUACAGUGACAAUGCAAGACAGACAACAAACAACAGCAUUUGUGGUUUUGUGUGUGUGUGUGUGUGUGUGUGUGUGUGUGUGUGUGUGUGUGUGUGUGUGUGUGUGUGUGUGUGUAUUAUAUAUAUGAAUAAUAAUGAUAAAAAAUAUUACAAUUGUCAGACAAGCAAAUGGAAAUUAUAAUAGAAUAAUAAUAAUAAUAAUAAUAAUAAUAAUAAUAAUAACAUUCAAUAUUAAUAAAGAUGUGACGACUAACAAUAAUAAUAAUAUGGGUGGAGGGGAGGUCUUUAAAUUUGUGGACUACCUCGGGUCCCUGCCCACUUGCACGAGACCAGCCUGCAUCCCCCCAGGCCCCGUACAGUCUAAAUUCAGAUUAUUUCAAUUGCUUGUAGGAAGAUUUUGGCUGAUUUGACAAGUAACAGACAACAAAAUGAUAUUUCACUUUCUCAUCAAUUUCUUGCUUAUUUAAAGAAAUUACAUCACAGUUUUGAACAAUUAAUGUUUGCUGUAGCAGUUUGUAACACAGACUUUGGACAGUUCUCUAUACAGACAUAGAGCUCCACCCAAUUAAUCUCAAUCCAAAAUGCACAAUAUUGACAAAACUGACCUCCCAGCAGUAUUCCCAUUUUUCUCAUGGCACAAUGGCCUAAAAUACGAAUUAAACUAUAGCUAAUUAUUUUUUAAAUAUAUGUGAAAAUGUAGCAAUAUGGGUUCUGGUUCAACCUUUUAGUCAGGCCAUAAGGCUCAUGUGGUUUAGUACUUAGGUAGAAGGCCUGGGUUUGAUACCAAUCUGCUGCCUCUUUUUCAUGUGUCUCUCUCCUGGUUUCCUGAUCCAUUUACUGUCCGGUCCUCUUUCAAGAAAGGCAUAAAGCCUUCCAGACUUCCCUCCUCCUCUAUAGACCUGCUAUAUGUGUUUGAGGGAUGAAGAAUUAAAAAAUGUGAUUCCGUCCCUGGUAAGAGCUUUAAACCCGUCUGUGAUAAUUACAAAACUCUCCAGAUUCUGCCUCUAUCACAAUCUUUCUUCACCUGUCACAAGGCAUUGUAAACAUGAGUAAACAGAUGAGAGUGAGAGCAAAGCUGAAAUGUCAAAGACAAAAGAGUGAUAAACAGUAUAGUUAUCCUCCUCUUCUGUUGUGUUGUGGAUUAAGAGUUUUGAAAAGGGAACUCAGACAUGAGAAAUAACCCUGUGUGGAAUAAAUCAUCAAUACCUUUAACACCUACCUAGGAUUUAAUCUAAAUGAAACUUUAAGUAUUUAUAACUUUGACAUUUAUAUUUCUUUUCUCAUUCAAUCAGUGUCAUAAAACAGAUUGCACUAUGAUUCAUGUUUGCAACAGUAAAGCUAUAAAAGCUCAGAGGAGGUGGAUACUUUUAUAGGCGGCGUAGUAUAGUUUCAGGUCUUUGAUUUAUCAUAUACUUUGCAAUUGGCAUCUAGGAAUGUGAGUUUUUUUUUUUUAUUUGUUGAGUGGGUGAGUGUCUGUGCAUAAGCAUAGGCAAACUGUUGCGAGUGUUUUAGCACCUUGGCAACCUGCACUGUGUGCCCCUGCAUCUGAGCAAAUACAUAUUGAGUAUCUUGUAAAUAAUAUCUCUUUGGCUCUUCCACGUGGCAUGGAUGGAAGAUAUUUAUCCACAAUGAGCUGUAUGAUCCACAAACUUCCCGGAUAUUUCCAUUCUUUGGUGAUUAGGUCAUAAGCUUAAGCUCUACAUCAUAGCAGCAACGAACCAGCUGUGCGGCUCAAAUAUACCGAUUCUGAGUUUAACAGCUUGAUUUGAUCAUUUCUGGCAUUAGAGUGAUUGAUGUUUGUAAUAUUACGUGCAUAUAGAAAGUGUUGAGCUUCACUGUCUGUGAAUGUACUGCAGUUUUUUCCAAACUGCUGCGCCCCCAGGCAGAGAGCCUCAUUACAGUCCCAUCUCUCCUCCCCAGGCUCCUCAGCAGCCCACCUCAAUGCCACAGCAGCUCUCAGUGACCGUGAUGUCUCCAAGCUCCGCUCCUGCCAUUAGGCCUGGUGGUCACGUCAAGAAAGAGAUGGCAGACUGUCACCACACAGACUAAAUCUCAGAAUCCUACACUCACAGCUCCUCUUGCCUGUCUGUCACAUUGCCACCCUUCUCACAGGCACUCAG